AGUGAACGCUGGCGGUAGGCCUAACACAUGCAAGUCGAACGGCAGCACAGUAAGAGCUUGCUCUUACGGGUGGCGAGUGGCGGACGGGUGAGGAAUACAUCGGAAUCUACUUUUUCGUGGGGGAUAACGUAGGGAAACUUACGCUAAUACCGCAUACGACCUACGGGUGAAAGCAGGGGAUCUUCGGACCUUGCGCGAUUGAACGAGCCGAUGUCGGAUUAGCUAGUUGGCGGGGUAAAGGCCCACCAAGGCGACGAUCCGUAGCUGGUCUGAGAGGAUGAUCAGCCACACUGGAACUGAGACACGGUCCAGACUCCUACGGGAGGCAGCAGUGGGGAAUAUUGGACAAUGGGCGCAAGCCUGAUCCAGCCAUACCGCGUGGGUGAAGAAGGCCUUCGGGUUGUAAAGCCCUUUUGUUGGGAAAGAAAAGCAGCAGGUUAAUACCCCGCUGCUCUGACGGUACCCAAAGAAUAAGCACCGGCUAACUUCGUG
rnacentral:rRNA from 1 species